ACCCAGCCUUUAUGCACCCUUGUUCUCUCGACCCUCGCCUCUCGUCGAAGACGCGUGCGUCUGGAUAUUCCUGCCCAUUCCAUAACAUGGCCUCCGACCUGAAAGUAGUGUCGAUCCAGGAAGAUAGAUUUUCUGACGUGAUCGUCCACCUGAGAAAAAAUUUCUUCUCUGACGAGCCUCUCAACAAGGCAGUGAAACUUUGCAAACGUGGUGAACCUCACGCAGCCCUGGAGCGACACAGUUUGGCUACCCUCCAGCAGGGUUUCUCGCGGAUGGCUGUCACCGAUUCAGGGGUGAUCGCAGGAGUUGCUCUGAAUGGUACGGUAAAGAAAAGUGAACGAGAGAAGGCGGAAUCGCGUCUCCUGGAAACGGCCGACGAAAAAUUCAAAGCAAUUUUUACGUUACUUUACGGUGUAAAUGAGAAGGUUGAUUUAUUUUCAACCUACAAUACCGAAGAGCUUUUUGAAUGUCGAAUUUUAAGUGUCGACGAAAACUUCAGAGGUAGAGGCUUGGCAUCUACCUUGAUGACUGAUAGUAUGGAAACAGCGAAGCAAGCCGGAUUUAAGGCACUCACAAACGACCAAGUACGAAGUAGACACCGCACAAAAUUUAAAAUCAACAUCCAAACAGAGAGCAGAAUUGCUGUGGGGUUAUAUAGUUUGGAGCUCUCUUUUGUGGCGAGAGAGAAGAGCAACCGUUCGCCACCUGGUGGUUGUCCGUAGAACCUCGACUUACACGCAUGGAUAUUCGUAAACAUCAAAUGGAUAUCUAUCACCGGCUUUAAUCUAAUCGUACAGAGGAUUUCUGUAGAGAUCUCUCUAUUAGAGAUCCACUAUGGAUAUGGACCUCUAAUAGAUAGAGUGUUCCGUGUGGAUAUAGGCACUGCACAGGCCUUAAAGCUGAAUUGGUAACCGUAUUAAAACUGAACACCAUUCUAUCACAUCGCGAGUACAUCACUCAUGCAUGCGAAGUUCCGUUCGUUUGCAUGGAUGGUUUUGUU
rnacentral:misc_RNA from 1 species